UACGAAGGAUCCAAGCGUUAUCCGGAUUUAUUGGGUUUAAAGGGUGCGUAGGUGGACUAUUAAGUCAGUGGUGAAAGCCUGCAGCUUAACUGCAGAAUUGCCAUUGAUACUGAUGGUCUUGAGUGCAUUUGAAGUGGGCGGAAUGUGUCGUGUAGUGGUGAAAUACUUAGAUAUGACACAGAACACCAAUUGCGAAGGCAGCUCACUAAACUGCAACUGACACUGAGGCACGAAAGCGUGGGGAUCAAACAGG
rnacentral:rRNA from 1 species